ensembl:lncRNA
UGCCUGUAGCCCAAAAUAGCCCGUGCGAAUUUACACUCAUUUUGCCAGCACGGUCACAUAUGCGUCACUAAACCGUACCAAAAAAAAAAAUAAAGUACGAAAUUGUUGCAGUUUUAAUGACAUACAGAACACAAAGCCUCAGAAAAUCUGAUCUGCAGAACAAACUGAGACACUAAAGCUUCUUUCAGUCUGACAGAAGAGAAACUCAAAGCUCUGCUGCAAACUCAUGAACAGUCCAGAAAGUGCUGCUGUAAAUAAUGAAGAAACUAAAACUUGACUGCAAAAAUUUUAUUGUUUACUGUAAUGUGAUGAUCAGAGUUAAAAUACUCCAGUCCACAGCACAAAAUCAACUACAACAACACCAGCAACUUCUACACCAGCUCGAGCUGAUUCAACAACAGCAGAGACUCCAGUCCACAUCACAAAAUCAACUACAACAACACCAGCAACUUCUGGUUCAUUAUUCAGAAUGAUUGUGAUUAUUGUAGAGUUUGCAGUGUUUGCUGCUCCUACUGUGAUUCUUCUUCAGAUCAUCUGUGACAGAAGAGCUGGUGAGUUUUUUUUUUUAAGCCUCACACAAUCUGCAACAAUAUUUAAAACAGCAAAAACUUAUAGAGGAUUGUCUAUUAUUUUAUUUAUUUAUGUUUUCAUCUCAGAAAACAAAGAAAAACUCUGACCACCUUGAAGAAAUGAUGAUGCCAUCCAUUUUUAUUUUUAUUUUUUUAACAAAUAACUGGCGAGCUGUA